UGCUGUGCAGGUAGUGUUUUUCAUAUCAAGGAAAAAAAGGUAUUCAAAUAUGAUUUUACUUUCUCUAUGCCCAACAGACUUCAGACAACAUGUGUCAACAACAAGAAUCAAGAGUCUUCAGAUGACAGUACUGAAAGGACUGCUAAGAAUCAUCACACAGAGUGUGUCUCUAACAAACUAAAAAUAGGAAGAAAAGGAAUUUCAGAGGAUGGCAGGGCCAUAAAAAGAAGGAGCCUGGAUCCCCAGAUCACCACAUGGAAGAAAAGACACUCAACUACUAGGAAAACCGUUCUUGGACUGAGAACCUUCCUGCCAUGGCAGCCUCCCUCCAAGGAGCAUGAUGACAAUAUGGCCACAAAACAGCUUCCCAUCAGCCUCCAUUUGUUACAAGAAACAGCCAGACACAAAAACCCUCCAGGCCCAACAAUGAGCAACGCUCCUCUUCUGAAAUGCCCACAAACUAUUAACUUGUUUCCUCCAGCCACCCAAAAGCUGCCAAAUGUAUCUGGAGACCAAUUAGAGAGUCUCCCUACUUCCAAAGAUACCAUUUUAAUAGAGUGCUUGCUAACAGAAAUUUUCUCAUAUUUCUUUUUGUACUCUUUAAAACUUACUUGCCUUUCGGACGUCCUCAAUCCUCUGAUGAAAUGAAAGUGAUGGCAGAUGGGUUCUCUUGCCCAUAAAGUUUAUGAAUAA
rnacentral:lncRNA from 1 species